rnacentral:ncRNA from 1 species
GUAUUGAAGUACUUGGUGGGGAAUCAAUGUGCAAUUCAUUGGCUGUACCUGCAACCGUAAAGUCGGAGUGCCACCCAAUAUAGCCCGCUGAGAAUGAUGGCCAGGAAAAGCCUAGUUCUACAAUGAAAAA